rnacentral:rRNA from 1 species
CAGAGGGUGCAAGCGUUGUUCGGAAUUAUUGGGCGUAAAGGGAGUGUAGGCGGCUAGGAAAGUCUUCUGUGAAAUCUACGGGCUCAGCCUGUAACGUGCAGAGGAAACUACCUGGCUAGAGUGUCGGAGAGGAUAGGGGAAUACCCGGUGUAGAGGUGAAAUUCGUAGAGAUCGGGUGGAACACCAGUGGCGAAGGCGCCUGUCUGGCUGACAACUGACGCUGAGACUCGAAAGCAUGGGGAGCAAACAGGAUUAGAUACCCUGGUAGUCCAUGCCGUAAACGAUGAUAACUAGAUGUGUGAGGUAUCGACCCCUUACGUGUCGAAGCCAACGCGAUAAGUUAUCCGCCUGGGGAGUACGGUCGCAAGAUUA